CCGGGACUACAGGCGCCUGUGCAAUCUCUAUGGUAACCACAUUUCCCAGUUGACUACUACCGGUAAUAAAAUCAAAUGGAUUCAGUGCUCACAACUCUUCAGUCUUUGGGCUACUUUCCAUUCUUGAAUUUUUAGCUGAAUUCAUCUCUUUGGCUGGAUUUUGUGAAUCGGGCAGCCAUUAGAACCAAAACAGUUCUGAGGAGCUCCCAGGCUGCAAUGUGGUGCGAAAUGUUUUAUGGACAGAAAAUGGAAAUGAGGUGCAGAAAUUGGAGGCUAAGAAUAAACUUGAAGACAAAGAGUAGAUUUUGGCCAGACACUGAUGCUAAAGUCACCCCGAUGCUGUCUUUGCUUCUAAGAUGAAAUUUCAGUCUUUAUUCAAGAUCAAGUGCAACUGUCUCUUUGAGGAAAGUCCUUUGACCGCCAUUUCUCCCCUUCAGAAGGCAAACACCUGGGGGAGAAGAUCUGCUUAAGGACCUGGUAACUGACAAAGAAUGGAAUGGGAGCGAGAACCGCCUAGCCAUCCCUUCUCCUUGCACAGUCAUGAAACAAAAGUUGAAAAGGAGCCUGGUUUUACUUGACCAGUCAUAAAUUACCAUAAAAUAAAAUGAGAUAUUAGGAACCUUUGAUCUCUGAAAAAGUAAUAUGUGUUGAAAAGAAAUAUCACUGUUACAUAUAGACAAAUAAUAGAAAUAUUUGAGGCAUGCAUUUAAAAUGUAGAGGCCACUUAUAGCAGGCAUAUUAACAUGUGCAUUUGCUUUUUAAGAAGUAUACACACGUGUACCUUUAGCUUUGAAAGGGUAAGAUUCAAUGCUUGGGUGAUGGAUGCACUAAAGUCUCAGAAGCCACCACUAAAGGACUUACCCACGUAACCGAAAACAACCUGUACUCCAAAAUCAAUGAAAUAAAAUAAAAAGGUAAGAUUCAUAAAUAGCAAGUUGAGAAUGCAUGUUUAUACCAUGUAGACAAUGCAUGA
rnacentral:lncRNA from 1 species